CUUACUUUUAGUUUUUUAUCUAUGGUAGAACCACCCAGAGCAGGGGUCCUCAACUCCCAGGCCACAGACUCAUACCAGUCCACGGACUAUUAUGAACCACACCACACAGGAGGAGGUGAGCACUAGGCAAGCCAAGGAAGCUUCACCUGUACUUACAGCCACACCCCAUGGCUCAUAUUACAGCCUGAACUCUGCCUCCACUCAGAUCAGUGAUAACAUUAGAAACUCAUUGGAGCACGAACCCUGUUGUGAACUGCCUAUCCGAAGGAUCUAGGUUGUGUGCUUCGUAUGAGAAUCUAAUGCCAGAUGAUCUAUCAUUGUCUCACUUUGCCCCCAGAUAAGACCAUCUAGUUGCAGAAAAAUAAGCUCAGAGCUUCCACUGAUUCUACAUUAUGGAUAUGUGCCGCCGAAGCAAGCACAAAGCCCUACUUUUACACAUGCCUAGUGAUGCUUCAUGGACAAGGCUUGGCUCUGUUGAGUCCAACUAACCUACCUGAGAUUCUGAGAUUUCUCUUCAAUGGCUUCCUGUGAGCUAGAGUUUGAAAAUAUCUUAAAAUCUUGAGCUAGAGAUGGAAGUAGCUUGGACGAUUUUCAUUAUCAUGUAAAUCGGGUCACUCAAGGGGCCAACCACAGCUGGGAGCCACUGCUCAGGGGAAGGUUCAUAUGGGACUUUCUACUGCCCAAGGUUCUAUACAGGAUAUAAAGGUGCCUCACAGUAUAGAUCUGGUAGCAAAGAAGAAGAAACAAACACUGAUCUCUUUCUGCCACCCCUCUGACCCUUUGGAACUCCUCUGACCCUUUAGAACAAGCCUACCUAAUAUCUGCUAGAGAAAAGACCAACAACGGCCUCAAAGGAUCUCUUACCAUGAAGGUCUCAGCUAAUUCUUGGCUAAGAUGUGGGUUCCACAUUAGGUUCUGAAUAUGGGGGGAAGGGUCAAUUUGCUCAUUUUGUGUGUGGAUAAAGUCAGGAUGCCCAGGGGCCAGAGCAGGGGGCUGCUGCUUUGGGAACAAUGGCUGAGCAUAUAACCAUAGGUAUGGGAACAAAAAACAUCAAAGUCACUGUAUCAAUUGCCAUGAAGACUUGAGGGACCUGAAUCUACCGAUUCAUCUUAAGGCAGCAGGACCAGUCUGAGUGGCAACAAUGCAGCAGCAGAAUCAAUGGAAACAACAGAAUGAUUGCAAUGUCCUUUUUUUUCUCCUCCUUCUGACUUGAUAAAAGGGACCGUCUUCCUUGGAUUUAGUGAACCCCUUUGGUUCCUGAAAAAUUCAAGGAGUAUCUAGGACAUAGUCCCCAGAAGACAGUACAAGACUUUCUGAUAAACUGGACAUUUCAAGACCCAAAUAACUAAUCAGAAAAAUCAAAGAUGUGAUACUAUUUUUUAUCCCAUGCAUAGGUGCUACACUUGGAUCAAAUGAACAAUGUUGGGAUCUCUAUGGAUAAAGGUCUUAAAAGUCCUGAGAUAAAGAAUCCUGCACCCACUGGUACUUCUAA